UGCUCGCCUUGUUUAAUAUAC
rnacentral:piRNA from 1 species